AUUGAACGCUGGCGGCAUGCCUUACACAUGCAAGUCGAACGGUAACAGGUUAAGCUGACGAGUGGCGAACGGGUGAGUAAUGUAUUGGAACGUGCCCAGUCGUGGGGGAUAACUGCUCGAAAGAGCAGCUAAUACCGCAUACGACCUGAGGGUGAAAGCGGGGGAUCGCAAGACCUCGCGCGAUUGGAGCGGCCGAUAUCAGAUUAGGUAGUUGGUGAGGUAAAGGCUCACCAAGCCGACGAUCUGUAGCUGGUUUGAGAGGACGACCAGCCACCCUGGGACUGAGACACGGCCCAGACUCCUACGGGAGGCAGCAGUGGGGAAUUUUGGACAAUGGGCGCAAGCCUGAUCCAGCCAUGCCGCGUGCGGGAAGAAGGCCUUCGGGUUGUAAACCGCUUUUGUCAGGGAAGAAAAGGUUCUGGCUAAUACCUGGGACUCAUGACUGUAAGGGGAGAAUAAGCACCGGCUAACUACGUGCCAGCA
rnacentral:rRNA from 1 species